AGCAUCCAGGGAAACAGACAGGAACUAGCAAACUAAUGACAUGACUGAAUGACUAACCGAAACAGACUUGAAAACGACAGGAACCAAAAGACAUGAAGACAUCAAACGACAACAAUGAUCCGACGGGGCGUGAGGGGCAGACAGGAUUUAUAUACACGACAGGUAACAAGAGGCAGGUGAGAAUAAUCAAACUAAUCAUGGGGGACACAGGAGGGGAGGGGCGAGCACACAGACAGAAACCGUGACAACAGACACAUAGUGGAACGGCUGGGGACAAGACGUGACAUGACUCCCUGCAUUUAA